rnacentral:rRNA from 1 species
GACGAACGCUGGCGGCGUGCUUAACACAUGCAAGUCGAACGGAAAGGCCCUGCUCUUGUUGGGUGCUCGAGUGGCGCACGGGUGAGUAACACGUGUGUAACAUGCACUUGUAUUUGGGGUAACUUCUGGAAACUGGGGCUCAUACCGGAUAUGAUCUCCUGCAGCGUGGGGUUGGUUGGUAAGUUUCGGCGGUUGGGGCUGGAAUGGCGGCUUCUCAGCUGGUUGGUGGGGUAGGGGCUUACCAAGGCUUUGAGGGGUAGCCGACAUGAGAGGGUGACCGGCGACAUUGGUACUGCGAGACGGCCCAGACGCCAACGGGAGGCAGCAGGGGGGAACAUGGCAGAAUGGGCGGAAGCCAGAGGCAGCGGCGCCGCGUGCGUGAUGACGGCUUUCGGGUGGUGAACCGCUGUCGCCGUUGACAAAGCGUGAGUGACGGUAAUGGGUAAAGAAGCACCGGCUAACUACGUG